GGUGUGGGCGCAGUGGCAGAGCACCUGCUUUGCAUGCAGAAGGUCCCAGGUUCAAUCCACAGCAUAUCCA